AUGAUGCCGCUGCUUGCUGUGCAAUGCCGACCCAUGUGGGCGGGAAACGACGCCCUUGCUGCUGGC
rnacentral:snoRNA from 1 species